AACGAACGCUGGCGGCAUGCCUAACACAUGCAAGUCGAACGGACCCUUCGGGGUUAGUGGCGCACGGGUGCGUAACGCGUGGGAAUCUGCCCUUAGGUUCGGAAUAGCUCGGGGAAACCUGAAUUAAUACCGGAUGAUGUCUUCGGACCAAAGAUUUAUCGCCUAAGGAUGAGCCCGCGUCGGAUUAGCUUGUUGGUGAGGUAAAAGCUCACCAAGGCGACGAUCCGUAGCUGGUCUGAGAGGAUGAUCAGCCACACUGGGACUGAGACACGGCCCAGACUCCUACGGGAGGCAGCAGUGGGGAAUAUUGGACAAUGGGCGCAAGCCUGAUCCAGCAAUGCCGCGUGAGUGAUGAAGGCCCUAGGGUUGUAAAGCUCUUUUACCCGGGAGGAUAAUGACAGUACCGGGAGAAUAAGCUCCGGCUAACUCCGUGCCAGCAGCCGCGGUAAUACGGAGGGAGCUAGCGUUGUUCGGAAUUACUGGGCGUAAAGCGCACGUAGGCGGUC
rnacentral:rRNA from 1 species